rnacentral:rRNA from 1 species
UACGGGGGGUGCAAGCGUUGUUCGGAAUUACUGGGCGUAAAGGGCUCGUAGGCGGCCAACUAAGUCCGACGUGAAAUCCCAAGGCUUAACCUUGGAACUGCGUCGGAUACUGGAUGGCUUGAAUUCGGGAGAGGGAUGCAGAAUUCCAGGUGUAGCGGUGAAAUGCGUAGAUAUCUGGAGGAAUACCGGUGGCGAAGGCGGCAUCCUGGACCGACAUUGACGCUGAUGAGCGAAAGCUAGGGGAGCAAACGGG